GCAGUCGAGCGGACCAUUGGAGCUUGCUCCCAUUGGUUUAGCGGCGGACGGGUGAGUAACACGUGGGCAACCUGCCCUGCAGAUCGGGAUAACUCCGGGAAACCGGUGCUAAUACCGAAUAGUUUGCGGCCUCUCAUGAGGCUGCACGGAAAGACGGUUUCGGCUGUCACUGCAGGAUGGGCCCGCGGCGCAUUAGCUAGUUGGUGGGGUAACGGCCCACCAAGGCGACGAUGCGUAGCCGACCUGAGAGGGUGAUCGGCCACACUGGGACUGAGACACGGCCCAGACUCCUACGGGAGGCAGCAGUAGGGAAUCUUCCGCAAUGGACGAAAGUCUGACGGAGCAACGCCGCGUGAGUGAAGAAGGUUUUCGGAUCGUAAAACUCUGUUGUGAGGGAAGAACAAGUACCAACUAACUAUUGGUACCUUGACGGUACCUCACCAGAAAGCCACGGCUAACUACGUGCCAGCAGCCGCGGUAAUACGUAGGUGGCAAGCGUUGUCCGGAAUUAUUGGGCGUAAAGCGCGCGCAGGCGGUCCUUUAAGUCUGAUGUGAAAGCCCACGGCUCAACCGUGGAGGGUCAUUGGAAACUGGAGGACUUGAGUGCAGAAGAGGAAAGUGGAAUUCCAUGUGUAGCGGUGAAAUGCGUAGAGAUGUGGAGGAACACCAGUGGCGAAGGC
rnacentral:rRNA from 1 species